UUUUUUUUACAUAAAUAUGUACGGUCAGGUUGCUCCAUCCAUGGUUUUGUUCAGGUAACAGCAAUUCUAUUGCCAGUGUUGGAUUCAGAACCCUCAAAUCUGUAAGGAACACCUGCAAUUUUUGACAGGAGCAAAAAUUUGCCCCACCAUCCACCAACACAUGAACUGUGACCUUUUCAUGAAGGAGUGAAUUGCAUGAUACAAUGAUCCUCCCGUUAGGUGUAUAACUA